AGCUCUGUAAGCGUAUAUCAAAGUUGUUGCAGUUAAAACGCUCGUAGUCGAAUCUUGGCUGAACUUACGCGGAGUCCGCAAGGAUUCUGCGGUUGAGGAAAGCCUUUGUGGAUUGUGUGCGCGGAGGUGUUUUAUUACACUUCCGUUGUACUGCCACCGUUUACUGUGAAAAAAUUAGAGUGUUCAAAGCAAGCGAUUUGCCCUGAAUACAUUAGCAUGGAAUAAUGGAACAGGACUACGGUCACUGCACUUUUCCGUUGGUUUCGGAGGGCCGAAGUAAUGAUUAAGAGGGACAGUUGGGGGCAUCCGUAUUUCGCAGUCAGAGGUGAAAUUCUUGGAUCUGCGAAAGACGAACGAGUGCGAAAGCAUUUGCCAAGAGUGUUUUCAUUAAUCAAGAACG
rnacentral:rRNA from 1 species